rnacentral:rRNA from 1 species
AACGAACGCUGGUGGCGUGCUUAACACAUGCAAGUCGAACGAGAAAGUUUCCUUCGGGGAAUGAGUAAAGUGGCGCAAGGGUGAGUAUCACGUGAAUAAUCUGCCCUCGAGAUCGGAAUAACAUGGUGAAAACUAUGCUAAUACCGGAUAAGACCACAUUUUAAAAGAAAUGCGGGAAAAGGAGUCUCAAUCUUCACUCGAGGAUGAGUUCGCGGACCAUUAGCUUGUUGGUGAGAUAAAAGCUCACCAAGGCUACGAUGGAUAGCCGGCCUGAGAGGGUGAUCGGCCACACUGGAACUGAGACACGGUCCAGACUCCUACGGGAGGCAGCAGUGGGGAAUAUUGCGCAAUGGGCGAAAGCCUGACGCAGCAAACACCGUGUGAGCGAUG